rnacentral:rRNA from 1 species
UACGUAGGGUGCUAGCGUUGUUCGGAAUCAUUGGGCGUAAAGCGCGUGUAGGUGGUUAGGUAAGUCGGGUGUGAAAUCCCUGGGCUCAACCGAGGAAGUGCAUCCGAAACUGCCUAGCUAGAGGACGGUAGAGGAAGGUGGAAUUCCUAGUGUAGAGGUGAAAUUCGUAGAUAUUAGGAGGAAUACCGGUGGCGAAGGCGGCCUUCUGGGCCGUUCCUGACACUGAGACGCGAAAGCGUGGGGAGCAAACAGG